rnacentral:lncRNA from 1 species
CAAAACUUAACCCAAUUCACCUAGCCCACUACCCAAAACCCAAUAUUCCCUCAUCUUUAAAAUACACCCUAAUUUUCUUUCUUUAAAAGGGGACUUUCCCAAAACCUAGACUUAAUUUUAGAUCUCCUCCCAUUGAAAAGGCUAAGAGAAACGACAGCCCUCAGAUAUAUUGAUUCAGUAAAAAAACGAGCAGCCACUUCCUUCUUCAUCUCCCAUCCCAAAGUUUGACAAAACCAGCCGAAAACCACCCCAAGACCAACGACAACCAUGGUGAAGUAGACAGAGAGUUGUAUCUCUGUUGCACCUCUAUCUUCGCCGCCAACCGACGAGCUUAGUCAGAAAACCUACAUUUUCAGAAAACAAGAAACAGCCACCAUCCCUGCUCUCUUCGACCAAAAACGCAGCCAUGAACCUCCAUUAAACACCACCAAAAUCAGCUCCCUAAAGCUCCCCAAAUCAGCCCCCCAAACAGCCCAACAAACAUGACAAAAUCAAGCUAAAAAUGUCAUGAAAUAACAACUAAAACUGUUGCCAGUUCCAGCUUAAAACCAGCCUCUCUUGCCCAUAAAAUCAGUCCAAAAAUGCCUAAAAAGGUCACCAAACACCACUGUAAGUCAGCCACGACCUGAAAACAUCGGGAUAAGGAACCAUAAACGGGCAUAUUCUAUUUCUUGGUUCUUUGCUAGCCUGAUAGUUCGUGAUUUUUUUUUGAGGGUUUGGUUCGUUAACUUCGUUUGAGGUCGUCGUCAUUAGUUUCGGUCGUGGUUUUGUCCUCGGCUCGAUUAUUGAAUCACAAAAGUUUAAAGUUUGGAUUCCCCAAUGUAAAGGUUCAUUUUCUAAUCCUAGCACAUUUGAAUCUUAUUUUGUGUAUUGCGCAAAUGAAUUUGUGUUAUUUUUAUGAGAUAAUUCUGUUAAAUAUAGCUUUGGAUGUUUCUUUAUUUUGUUUAGUACAUAUUAACAGAUUAGUGAUUUGCUGUAAAAUCUAAGUCUUCCUCUUUUCUUUGUAGAAGUUUUAUUUGAGGAGAUUUACCCUUUUUUAUGAUUAUUUGAAUAUUGUUUGGAUGAAAUCAUGUGGGAAUAUGUUUACUGAUUAGAGUUAGAUCCUUGAUAUCCUGUAGUGGGUUUCAUUAGAGAUGAAUGCUUAGGCUUUAAGAAUAAUACUUUAGUGCUCAAGUGAUGUUGGGCCUUAGUUAGUUUUUGUAAUGGAGGCUGCUGGAAAUAAUUUCAUACGAUAAGAUAAAGAAGUUUGGCCCAAAAGAAUUAGGUCUGACCCACUUCCUUAAAUAAAAGGGAAAAAUUCAAAAAUAGCCAGAUUUACAACUGGUCGUUCAAAAAUAGCCCAGUUUUAAAAGUAACGAAAUUUAGCCACUUUUCAUGUAAAGAUAAAUCUGAGCGAAAACACUGUUCAAAACCCGAAAAAUACGCCAGUAUAUUAUACUGGAGUUCCAGCUUAAGUAUGCUUGAACUCCAGCAUAUUAUACUGGAGUUCCAAGAUAAGUACACUAGAAGUCCAGCAUAAUAUGAUGGAGUUCCAACAUAAGUACACUAGAACUCUAGCAUAAUAUACUGGAAUUCCAGCAAGUAUAAUUGUCCCGUAUAAUAUACUGGAGUUUGGAGCACUGGUGCUCCAGUCUCCAGUAUAUUAUACUGGAAUCAACAAAUUAUACCGAUCCAGCAUAAUAUGUUGGAGUUCAUACACAGGUGCACCGAACUCCAAUAUAUUAUGCUGGACCGGUCUCUGUUGCAGCAAAAUAGUGGCUAUUUUUUAUUGAUUUCGUAAACGCUGGCUAUUUUUGAAUGACUAGUCUGAAAACUGGCUAUACCGUGCUAUUUUUACUAAAUAAGAUAAUCACAAGCAGACUCAUUUCUUUUAUAUCGAAUAAUACCGGUUACCUCCAUACCUUGGCCAUUAGUUUAAUAAUUAAGUUAUAUCAUUUUUCCACAACAAAUUCCAAAAUUCAUACCCUUACAAUAAUCUCAAAGUUUAGGAAGAAUAAUGAACACCGUUAGAGUGCUUUAGGCGCGAUUAAUAAUAAAUUAUUAUGACUAUGGGUACGGUUCCCGUGGCAUGGUCACGAUACAUAAAUCCAAAUUCGGGUGUACAUUUCAUGUGACCCGACCAUAGCUUCGAAUAAUAAUAAAAUAAACAUGUUGUAAAUCGCAGGUGCAUUUCAUGUGGCGCGGUUUGCAACGUGUACCAAAAUGACAAGUGUACGACAUCGUGACUUGUUCCAGAAAUAAUUCCAUAAAUACUAAAAGAGGCUAAAAGAUAAAAAUGCACAAUAAGUUUAAAACAUGUAAUUAAUCAGAUAAUUAAGUAAAUUAAUAAUAGUUGAGUGACCAUGCUACAACCACAGAACCCGGGAAUGCCUUACACCUUCUCUCGGGUUAACAGAAUUCCUUACUCGAUCUUCUGUGUUCGCAGACCAUAAAUAAGAGUCAAUUUUCCUCGAUUUGGGAUUUAAAAUAAACCGGUGACUUGGGACACCAUAUAAUUAUCCCAAGUGGCGACUCUAAAAUUAAAUAAAUAAUCCCAUUUCAAUUAAUGUCACUUGAAUUGGAAUAACUCCCAUCCCCUACGGGAAAAAGGAGGUGUGACAUAGUGCAUGAGUCGAAGAAGAACAAGCUUGUAUAAUAUUUCUUAAGAUGAUUAUCAUACAUCAAAUGUAAAUGAUAAGCUUAUAUUUAUGACAGGCUUGAACCAUACUCGUGGGAACACAGAAGGAGAAGAGAGAAAGCUAUUGAUGACUAAGAUAUCUCUCUUUGUUGAUUCCAUAACGAUGACUACAAAUGUUGUCUGCCCCUCUGGGCCAAGAUCCCCUCUCUAUAUAUAUUAACAACUUUCUCUUUUAUCCAAUAGUCUUUAACCGGCGUACUUUCUCAUGACUGUACCCUUCAGUACUUGCCCAAACAUUACACUUGUUCUGCGAUGUAAGCGUUCUGACUGCUUGACCCCGGCAAUGGCCGAGGUGCUUUUUGCUAUUACGCCCCGUGGGCACGACUACGACUCAGUCGACCCCUUAUCGUUCCUUUUAAGAACAUCUUAUGGUAAGAUUUUAACCCAUACACUAACCAAGAGCCUCCCCAAUCAAAAGCAGUUUCACUAUCUCCAGGACAAGCUCGUUAUGGUGCAUCCGUAACUUUACUUGCCGGGGGGGGGGGGGGGGGGGCAUCAAUCAUGUGGAUAAUAUUAGACUUCAAUUCAAAAUCAGUUUGUUAAGAUGUUUAGUGUUUGCUGUGAAAAUCAUACAACUUUAUUCCUUUAGCAGUUUAGAUGCAACUCAAAUACUUGAGCUACUAUGUACAACCUUCUAGUAUUCAAAACAGAGGAACUUUUCUCUUAAGGAAAUACGAAGAAAUAUUAAUAUAGUUUCACUGUGACUUCGAUUUGCCACCAUUUGACUUGUCUACAUAUCUUUUUGGAUUAAAUAUAUCUCCUAUUACUAGCAAAAGCUUAUACUCCUAUAUAUUAAUUCUACAAUUUGACAGAAAUAUUACUGUAAUAGUUAGAAUUGGCCUGUUGGGCGGUGAAAAUAUUCGAAAUCAAAAUACAUUAACACUAUAAAAGUCUCGUUAUUUCAUUAUUUACCUCGCCGCGGGAUAUCCUUAGAUAUUUUUACCCAUUUGUCCAAGAUCAAGAUUUGACAAGAAUUUGUAGGUAAAGCUCUUCGCCUCUUCAAUUAUCUUCUCUCUGGGAAAUGAAACUUGCGAAGCUCUAUAGAGAUUAAACAUUGCAGUCGGUGACUUGUCCAAUUCACCCCUUAUAUAUGCAAAAGAACUCAUCAUGAUUCUCUUUGAAGUUCUUGAG